rnacentral:rRNA from 1 species
AUUGAACGCUGGCGGCAGGCCUAACACAUGCAAGUCGAGUGGAUGAGAGGAGCUUGCUUGUCGAUUCAGCGGCGGACGGGUGAGUAAUGCCUAGGAAUCUGUCUAGUUGCGGGGGACAACGUCUCGAAAGGAACGCUAAUACAGCAUACGUGUUACGGGAGAAAGUGGGGGACCUUCGGACCUUACGCUACUAGAUGAGCCUAGGUCGGAUUAGCUAGUUGGUAGGGUAAAGGCCUACAAAGGCUGCGAUCCGUAACUGGUCUGAGAGGAUGAUCAGUCACACUGGAACUGAGACACGGUCCAGACUCCUACGGGAGGCAGCAGUGGGGAAUAUUGGACAAUGGGCGCAAGCCUGAUGCAGCCAUGCCGCGUGUGUGAAGAAGGCCCUCGGGUCGUAAAGCACUUUAAGUUGGGAGGAAGGGCUUACAGCGAAUACCUGUGAGUUUUGACGUUACCGACAGAAUAAGCACCGGCUAACUUCGUGCCAGCCGCCGCAGUAA